rnacentral:rRNA from 1 species
UACACUCCUACGGGAGGCAGCAGUGGGGAAUAUUGGACAAUGGGCGCAAGCCUGAUCCAGCCAUGCCGCGUGAGUGAUGAAGGCCCUAGGGUUGUAAAGCUCUUUCACCGGAGAAGAUAAUGACGGUAUCCGGAGAAGAAGCCCCGGCUAACUUCGUGCCAGCAGCCGCGGUAAUACGAAGGGGGCUAGCGUUGUUCGGAAUUACUGGGCGUAAAGCGCACGUAGGCGGAUCGAUCAGUCAGGGGUGAAAUCCCAGGGCUCAACCCUGGAACUGCCUUUGAUACUGUCGAUCUGGAGUAUGGAAGAGGUGAGUGGAAUUCCGAGUGUAGAGGUGAAAUUCGUAGAUAUUCGGAGGAACACCAGUGGCGAAGGCGGCUCACUGGUCCAUUACUGACGCUGAGGUGCGAAAGCGUGGGGAGCAAACAGGAUUAGAAACCCCAGUAGUCCCAU